UCCUCCAGAAUACACUGUGGCGGAGGAGUUGGCACUGAGUAACAACAAGGGGCGGCCGAUUAUGGAUGGGAUUGCAAGUGCUGUACAGUCUGACCCUGGUGCUGGCUCCUCUAAGCAAGUGACACUGGUAGAGGGAAAUACAGUGUCCCUGUUGAAGCCAGCACACAUGCACAGAGUCUCCUGCACAGAGGGUGAACCAAAUGAUGAAGACACUCUGUCUGUGCCUUCAGAGACAGUUGCUGAGG